UACAGGGGGGGGCAAGCGUUGUUCGGAAUUACUGGGCGUAAAGGGCUCGUAGGUGGCCAACUAAGUCGGACGUGAAAUCCCUCAGCUUAACUGGGGAACUGCGUCCGAUACUGGAUGGCUCGAGUUUGGGAGAGGGAUGCGGAAUUCCAGGUGUAGCGGUGAAAUGCGUAGAUAUCUGGAGGAAUACCGGUGGCGAAGGCGGCAUCCUGGACCGGCAUUGACGCUGAGGCGCGAAAGCGUGGGGAGCAAACAGG
rnacentral:rRNA from 1 species